rnacentral:rRNA from 1 species
AUUGAACGCUGGCGGCAGGCCUAACACAUGCAAGUCGAGCGGAUGAAGGGAGCUUGCUCCUGGAUUCAGCGGCGGACGGGUGAGUAAUGCCUAGGAAUCUGCCUGGUAGUGGGGGAUAACGUCCGGAAACGGGCGCUAAUACCGCAUACGUCCUGAGGGAGAAAGUGGGGGAUCUUCGGACCUCACGCUAUCAGAUGAGCCUAGGUCGGAUUAGCUAGUUGGUGGGGUAAAGGCCUACCAAGGCGACGAUCCGUAACUGGUCUGAGAGGAUGAUCAGUCACACUGGAACUGAGACACGGACCAGACGCCUACGGGAGGCAGCAGAGGGGAAUAUUGGACAAUAGGCGGAAGCCUGAUCCAGCCAUGCCGCGUGUGUGAAGAAGGUCUUCGGAUUGUAAAGCACUUUAAGUUGGGAGGAAGGGCAGUAAGUUAAUACCUUGCUGUUUUGACGUUACCAACAGAAUAAGCACCGGCUAACUUCGUG